CAGAUAACACUUAUCUGUGUUCCUUCUCCUGUGCAGACCUGCGUCCUUAGAAUACAGAGCAGGGGGGAGGGGAGGUGAGAAGCUGUGUACUCAGCUGGAUGAGAUGAGGGGGCAUGGAUUAUUCCUCUCAUGCAGACAGAGGGGAAAAAAAAAAUAAAAAAAGCUGUGACAUCUUGUCCACCACAGACUCAGAACUGUGGACAACGGUAAAAGAAAACCCUCUGAACUACAGAACUUCCUGCCCAACAAACAGGUUAAGCCAUUAUAUUUUUCAUCAUUAUCAUGAGGAUUAACCUAAACAGAAGCUACCAAGGGGAAAGAUAGAAGAUGGAAGUAAGACCUGCCGGCCAGCCACGCUGAUACCGGAGGAUCCAGGCUGCAUUCAGCACACUGCAUCAUCACUCGAGCUUAUCCAGGUGUUGUGCCCAUAGCGCAACACCAUCUGGUAAGUGGAAUACCAACCCCUUCCCUUACCCCAAAGUUUUGAAGUAUUACACUAGGGGCGCGUGUCCUUUUUUCUUUUUGUCUUGCAGUCAUUACAAAGUAGAAUUGGUGGCGCAAAAAAAUAAGCCAUCAUAUGGAUUUUUAGGUGCAAAAUUGAAAGUUAUGAUUUUUUAAAGGCAAGGAGCAAAAAACGAAAAUGCAAAAAUGGAAAAAAAACCCGGUCCUUAAGGGGUUAAGGUGAAAAUGGGCUGAGUCCUUAAGGGACCUCAGUAUUGCUAUGCAAGUGUUUUUUUUAUAUUUAGGUAUAUGUCUUCUAUAUACACUGAGCCACUAUCUUUCCCCACCCCUGCUCCAAAGACUGCUUGUUCUUUGAGCUGCAGACUCCUCUCCAAGUUGACAAUGGAUUUCAAUCUUGCCAGUUGCUUCUUUAGAUCCUGGAUCUGAGUUUCCAAAUGAACAAUUUGCACACAUCUUGCACAGCAGUAUACACUCUGUUCUUCAAGGACUGCAUACAGUACAUCAAGCAACAUGUACAUCGGAAAGAAUAGAAUUAACCCAAAAAAGGACUGAUGACCCUAAAAUACAGCAAAUAGUGAGGCAGAAAAGGGAAGAACUUAGGUCCCUCUUGAUGGAGGAAGCGAAAAAACAAAAAGCAAAGACGAGAGGACAGAUAUAUGAAUUUGGAAAUAAGAUAGGGAAGGCACUGGCGGCAGCAUCAAAGGGGCAAAUAGCAAAAUAAUACAUCCCAAAAAUAAGACAAGAUGCACAAAAGGUCACACACUGUCCAUCCACGAUAGCCGAAACAUUCAAAACAUUUUAUGAGGAGCUCUAUCAUAUCGAUAGGCAUAAUCCUGCUACUAUGUGUAAAAAAUUCAGGGGAAAAAUUUAAACAUACAUAAUAGAAUCAGGCUCACCAAGACUGCAUAGUGAAGUGAUAGAUAGACUGGAAGAAGAAAUAACUAUGGAAGAAUUGGAGCAGGCACUUAAGAAUACAGCAGAAAGGAAGUCCCCGGGCCCCGAUGGGUUCUUGCUAGUUUACUACAAAAGGAUAAGAGAACCGUUGUCCCCAUACUUUUUGAAAGCAUUCAAUACCGUUCGAGAGGGAAAGCAUUACCGAAAGAUGCGAGUCGAGCGAUAAUUGUGGUAAUCCCCAAAGAGGGAAAAGAUAAAUUGCAAUGUGGAAGCUAUAGGCCUAUCUCAUUGUUAAAUGCAGAUUAUAAACUUUUCUCGAAAAUCUUCGCUGGUAGACUGGCGAGAGCAAUUGAGGGUAUUAUUCACUUAGAUCAAGUAGGGUUCAGCGCAGGAAGAGAGGCUAAGGACAACACUAC